rnacentral:lncRNA from 1 species
GAAUGAAUCUGUGUGCUUUGUAUCAAUAAGGGGAUCUUUGUUGCUGGGGAGAAGGUUCCUUUUCCUCCUCAAAACUUGACAUCAGAGCUCCCUUAAACAAUGGGCAUUUUAUGACUGGCCUAAUUGUUCUCAAUGCUUCGUGUAUGGCCAAAGAACAGUUUUUGUUUGAAUUCUGAAGGGGCCAUUAUAUGUUGGCAGGUGUUCAUGACUGCAUUAUGACAGAAGAGACACAGCUGAGAUCGUGUCAUGGAAACAUCAGAUUUCUGGUUUCACCAUGUCUAGGGGAAUGUUUGUCUUCACAGAUGAUUUGCUUGUGCAUCUUAGCUGCAUGCGCUUCCCUCUGGGGGACAAAAUCUAAACUUGGAAAUAAAGUUCUCCAAGAGUACACGGGCAGUUUUGGGUAUGAAGCUAAGUUCCAGGAAUGUGCAGAAUCUGGACAUGGAGUGGAUGUGAAUCUGCAUCUGAAGCCCGAGCCCCAGUCGCACAUAUGAAAAAGAUGCCAUGGGAGCAAACACUGAGACCGAUACUUAGGAUGAAGCAGGUUAGUGAGGUUUCAUCAAUGUGUGGACAAGAAAGAAAGGAGAUCAAGAAGAAGCUAAUGUGCCCAGUGGGAGUGACUUUUGGUUAAGCUGUAAUUACCUAGAUACCCC